UAAAUACUCCCUCUGUCCCAAAAAUCUUGUCUUAAAUUUAUCUAGAUAUGGAUGUAUCUAAUACUAAAACGUGACUUGAUACAUCCGUAUUUAGACAAAUCUAAGACAAGAAUUUUGGGACGGAGGGAAUAUGUU
rnacentral:pre_miRNA from 1 species